CAGCCGCCGCGGUAAUACGAAGGGUGCAAGCGUUAAUUGGAAUUACUGGGCGUAAAGCGUGCGUAGGCGGUUUGUUAAGUCUGCUGUGAAAUCCCCGGGCUCAACCUGGGAAUGGCAGUGGAUACUGGCAAGCUAGAGUGUGUCAGAGGAUGGUGGAAUUCCCGGUGUAGCGGUGAAAUGCGUAGAGAUCGGGAGGAACAUCAGUGGCGAAGGCGGCCAUCUGGGACAACACUGACGCUGAGGCACGAAAGCGUGGGGAGCAAACAGGAUUAGAUACCCCCGUAGUCCCUGUCUCUUAUAC
rnacentral:rRNA from 1 species